rnacentral:rRNA from 1 species
GGCAGCUACACAUGCAAGUCGAGCGGUAGCACAGAGAGCUUGCUCUCGGGUGACGAGCGGCGGACGGGUGAGUAAUGUCUGGGAAACUGCCUGAUGGAGGGGGAUAACUACUGGAAACGGUAGCUAAUACCGCAUAACGUCGCAAGACCAAAGUGGGGGACCUUCGGGCCUCAUGCCAUCAGAUGUGCCCAGAUGGGAUUAGCUAGUAGGUGGGGUAACGGCUCACCUAGGCGACGAUCCCUAGCUGGUCUGAGAGGAUGACCAGCCACACUGGAACUGAGACACGGUCCAGACUCCUACGGGAGGCAGCAGUGGGGAAUAUUGCACAAUGGGCGCAAGCCUGAUGCAGCCAUGCCGCGUGUGUGAAGAAGGCCUUCGGGUUGUAAAGCACUUUCAGCGGGGAGGAAGGCGGUGAGGUUAAUAACCUCGUCGAUUGACGUUACCCGCAGAAGAAGCACCGGCUAACUCCGUGCCAGCAGCGGCGGUAAUAAA